AGAACUCGUUUCCGAAAGCUUCGGACGGGAAGCCCAAAGCUUCCAUGGCAUGGGGCUGGCAGCAAGCAUCCGUCUUGCCGUCUUGCUGCCUCACAGGCAGGAAUGCUCCUCAGGUGUGGAGUCAGCGCCCAAAAGUAAAACACGUUUUUCGCCCACCAUCCUUAAAGCUGAACUGAGGAUAACAAUAAAGAGGCUCUCCCCCAGUUCCUCUGUCAAUACGGAGGUAGAUGGUAUAUGCUGGAUGUGCUCUUCUGAAGUUCGAGGCAGUUUUCUGUCAACCCAACAGGGGUGUUCCUCCACGUGACAGGAAAGGAAGAAUGCUGAAGGGACUGCCAGACUGAAGCUGGUGCACCAGGGUGGCUCUGAAAGCAAAUUUCCACCACCUGCUCCUCACCUUGGCACUAUUUUUUUCCUCUCCCACAUUUUUCCCACUUCUGACCCACAAUGUGGAAGUGACCUUCAGCUCUGACUCUCCAAAGAGGAAGGACAGCAAAGAUUUCUAGUUGCUGCAAGCACGUACAGAAGAAAGCAACGCCGGAGCUCCGUCUUUAAGCAUCUUCAAAAAUAGCUCCAACACAACAAGAAAUAAAAAAAAAAUGAUAAUAGAAAAGGGGAGUUUAGCUGUUUUUGUCUGGUUGUUUUUUUAAUCUACUGAGAAUAUUUUCAGACACUGGAAACAAAAGUAGAGAACAUAUCGCUGUUAGAGUUUCACAAUUCAUGGCCAGCUAAUCAACAGAAAACAAAAUAAUCCCACAAUCUGGAUAGCAUGUUUGCCCAAUAUCUGUAUAUUAAACCAAGCCUCAAAUGUAGCAUGGUCUCUGAAUACACACA